rnacentral:rRNA from 1 species
AUUGAACGCUGGCGGUAUGCUUAACACAUGCAAGUCGAACGGCAGCACAGACUGUAGCAAUACAGUUGGGUGGCGAGUGGCGGACGGGUGAGUAACGCGUGGGAAUCUGUCUUAAAGUGGGGGAUAACUCGAGGAAACUCGAGCUAAUACCGCAUAUCUAGCUUGCUAGAAAGGGGGCCUCUGUUUACAUGCUUUCGCUUUAAGGUGAGCCUGCGUCUGAUUAGCUAGUUGGUAGGGUAAAGGCCUACCAAGGCAAUGAUCAGUAGCUGUUCUGAGAGGAAGACCAGCCACACUGGGACUGAGACACGGCCCAGACUCCUACGGGAGGCAGCAGUGGGGAAUAUUGCACAAUGGGCGCAAGCCUGAUGCAGCCAUGCCGCGUGUGUGAAGAAGGCCUUCGGGUUGUAAAGCACUUUCAGUGAGGAGGAAGGGUGGCGUGUUAAUAGCACACGACAUUGACGUUACUCGCAGAAGAAGCACCGGCUAACUCUGUGCCAGCCGCCGCAGUAA